AUUGAACGCUGGCGGCAUGCCUUACACAUGCAAGUCGAACGGCACGCGGACCUUCGGGUGCCGGGCGAGUGGCGAACGGGUGAGUAAUAUAUCGGAACGUACCUUCAGUGGGGGAUAACGUAGCGAAAGUUACGCUAAUACCGCAUAUUCUGUGAGCAGGAAAGCAGGGGAUCGCAAGACCUUGCGCUGAUUGAGCGGCCGAUAUCAGAUUAGCUAGUUGGUGAGGUAAAGGCUCACCAAGGCGACGAUCUGUAGCGGGUCUGAGAGGAUGAUCCGCCACACUGGAACUGAGACACGGUCCAGACUCCUACGGGAGGCAGCAGUGGGGAAUUUUGGACAAUGGGCGCAAGCCUGAUCCAGCCAUGCCGCGUGAGUGAAGAAGGCCUUCGGGUUGUAAAGCUCUUUCGGCCGGGAAGAAAUCGCACAGGUUAAUACCCUGUGUGGAUGACGGUACCGGAAUAAGAAGCACCGGCUAACUACGUG
rnacentral:rRNA from 1 species